rnacentral:rRNA from 1 species
GACGAACGCUGGCGGCGUGCCUAAUACAUGCAAGUUGAGCGCUGAAGGUUGGUACUUGUACCCACUGGAUGAGCAGCGAACGGGAGAGUAACGCGUGGGGAAUCUGCCUUUGAGCGGGGGACAACAUUUGGAAACGAAUGCUAAUACCGCAUAAAAACUUUAAACACAAGUUUUAAGUUUGAAAGAUGCAAUUGCAUCACUCAAAGAUGAUCCCGCGUUGUAUUAGCUAGUUAGUGAGGUAAAGGCUCACCAAGGCGAUGAUACAUAGCCGACCUGAGAGGGUGAUCGGCCACAUUGGGACUGAGACACGGCCCAAACUCCUACGGGAGGCAGCAGUAGGGAAUCUUCGGCAAUGGACGAAAGUCUGACCGAGCAACGCCGCGUGAGUGAAGAAGGUUUUCGGAUCGUAAAACUCUGUUGGUAGAGAAGAACGUUGGUGAGAGUGGAAAGCUCAUCAAGGGACGGAAACUACCCAGAAAGGGACGGCUAACUACGU